rnacentral:rRNA from 1 species
AUUGAACGCUGGCGGCAUGCCUUACACAUGCAAGUCGAACGGCAGCACGGGAGCUUGCUCCUGGUGGCGAGUGGCGAACGGGUGAGUAAUACAUCGGAACGUACCCAGGAGUGGGGGAUAACGUAGCGAAAGUUACGCUAAUACCGCAUAUUCUGUGAGCAGGAAAGCGGGGGAUCGCAAGACCUCGCGCUCUUGGAGCGGCCGAUGUCGGAUUAGCUAGUUGGUGAGGUAAAAGCUCACCAAGGCGACGAUCCGUAGCAGGUCCGAGAGGAUGAUCUGCCACACUGGGACUGAGACACGGCCCAGACUCCUACGGGAGGCAGCAGUGGGGAAUUUUGGACAAUGGGGGCAACCCUGAUCCAGCCAUGCCGCGUGAGUGAAGAAGGCCUUCGGGUUGUAAAGCUCUUUCGGCGGGGAAGAAAUGGCAACGGCUAAUAUCCGUUGUUGAUGACGGUACCCGCAUAAGAAGCACCGGCUAACUACGUGCCAGCCGCCGCAGUAAAAC